rnacentral:tRNA from 1 species
UCUGGCGUGGUCUAGUGGCUAGUAUAUCUGGCUUUCACCCAGAAGGCCCGGGUUCGAUUCCCGGCGUCGGAA